GAAAAUGAAAAUAGUAAACUUUUUUUCCAGUGAUAUUUAAUACUGUAAUGUUUUUUUACAGAGUCCUCUAAUUAGAAGACCAACAAUGGAGCUUUUCCAAAAACCAAAAGCCAUUUGCCUAUAGAGUCGUCAUUACAAGUACUUAACAGCUUUGAAAGACGAAGAAUCCAUCACCCAAGACCGUAAUGGUGCUUCCCAUAAUGCCAGAUGGACUAUCGAAUUGCCUAUAUACGCUAAGGUUUACUAAAGAUGGACAAGAUCAGCAUCCCUUCUUUCCGAACAAAGAUCUGGUAAAAAUGCUUUGCUGUUGAUAGACAAAUACACAGACUAUGCCUUUUGAUGUUCCAUAAAGUGUUGAUUUGUUUCAAAAGGGGAGAUCCUUUGUAUACGUGAACUGUUAUGCAUUACAUUUUUAGAAGAAAAAAAUUAUUACACAUUAAUAGUUAAGUGCUUUAAGAGCUCAAGCCACAUCACAUUUAUUCAUCCAUCUAGGAAGGAAUAAUAGGAAGGAAUAAAACCAUAAUCCUUAGUUUCUUCUCAUAGCAUUGCACACUGCAGAUUGUUAACACUAUUGACAAUUACAUAAGCAUUUAACCUCCUAGUAAAAGGGCCAAACUCAUGGUUUCAGUACACAAGCAUACAUUAUACUCCAGGACUAAGACAAGAACAAUAAUUGAUAACCAAACAGUCUUCCAGAUAAUCAAUAACAAUAGUACAAGAUUUAGGCCACCGAUUAAUCUUCAGUUUCUUCUCACAGCAUUGCACACUAUAAAUUGUUAACACAAUUGACAAUUACACAAGCAUUUAACCUCCUGGUAAAAGGGUGAAACUCAUGGUUUCAGCACACAAGCAGACAUUACACUCUAGGACUAAGACAAGAACAACAAUUGAUAACCAAACAGUCUUCUAGAUAAGUAAUAAUAAUAGUACAAUAGUAUAAACACUCCCCUAAUAAUGACGAGGAUAGUGUCCAAUGCCCAAUAUAGUUUUCAGAUAGAAGCUCAUUGAAUUUGGGCCUACCAGGUAAACAGACUUAGUUCUUUUCAAGUUAGUUUCCAUUUUGACAAAUAAUCACUUUUAAACAUACUAAAAACACAACAACAACAAUGAUGUAUGUAGUGUAAUUUCAUAAAAUAGGCUCUAGAGAAGGAAGAGUGCAUAGAUGCCUUACCCUUAAUUCAAAGGUAGAUUUGUUUUUUUUCUCUAGUCACAAUUCUUUAAAAAUCCACAAAUUCCCAAUUAAUCUUGUCUCAAUGUACAACAAAACUAGUCACAGUUCUUCAAAAAAUCCACAAAUUCCCAAUUAAUCUUGUCUCUAUGAACAAUAAAUUUUAAAAAUUUACCUAACACAAGUUUUAAUAUAAACAUCAUAUCACAUCUCUUUUGCCAACAAACAUAAUACAAGCAACUAAAUAUAGACUACAACAUACAUUGAAAACUUCUAUCCAACCAUGUAAGGCAAGCUAUUGAAUACAAUUACAAAUUAUCCACAUAUUUUUUACCAACAAUGUAAUCGAAAAGUCACUUAUUACGAACUAUGUCAUAUUCACAUACCUCUUAAGAACAAAAUUACUAGAUAUAGAGAACAUUUGAUUCUUUAUAUGACAUGGUUCAGAGAGUCAAACUUCUUUAAAUCUGAAAGAAAUUUAACUUAAACCAUAUAUAUACAAGCAAAAAAAUAUUAAAUCUUAGAACCAAAAAUGUAAAAACAUAGAACACAUAGAAGACUGAAUCUGUAAUUUAAAUGAAAAUGUAAGAAAUCAACAAUAAAGUCGAAGCAUAAACCCAAUUCUGAAACAAGGCAACAAAAUUCCUACUAUUAGUUCACAUUUUGGGGAAAAUAAAGGAGACCCAAGAUAUUCAGAAAAUCAAAUUCUAUUCUAUACAUAAAUAAAAAAAAAAUUAUAGCCUUACUUUGAAUGAGAGAUUUAGGAGAGAGAGAGACUGAGAAAAAUCGGCUCGUAAGUCAUAAUUGCUUCUUUGGAUUUGGUGGAGAAAAAUUUUUUUCAAACUUUCAGAGAGUGAUUUUUAGAGAGGCGGCUUUGAGAGAGCUGUAUGGGUUUAUU
rnacentral:lncRNA from 1 species